CCUGGAUGCCAUUGCAUUGUGUUUCUAACAUCUACGGUAUUUUUCAGGUAGCAGCUAGGGUGACAGAUGAUUCUGAGAAAGACGAGUGGUUCGUUGUUUAAGUUCUUCAUUUUGGUUGAGAAUCUAGAAAGAAGUACAAUCUGCCUAUGUCACAGAUCAUAUCUUUCCCAAAACGGAUGAUAUCUCAUGGGUUCAAGAUUUCCGUCUUGGAGAAAAGGUUUUAGCUCUGUAUCCAGAUACAACUGCAUUAUAUAAAGCAACUGUAGUCCAACCUCGAACUAUAGCAACUGCAUUAUGUGAAGAUGGAUCUUUGCCUCAAAGGGUUGUACCCUUUUACAGGGUAGUUGGUCCUCCCGGUGGACGUAGUCAAUAGUUUUCCUUGUUCCCCCAUAGAUGUGUAUAGGUAAAUAUAUGCAGUUCAUAUGCAUUUCUAUCUACGUAAACGUUGUAGGUAUGUGGCUGUGUUUAGAUUUAGAUUUAUGUAGGGAUUAGUUGGAGAACAAGAAAAGGAAGUUUCUUGAAGCUAUUUUCUUUUUCUGUCAGUUCGUUUAUAACAUUUAUCACUUGUUUUAUUUUUGUCACUAGAACCAAGUAUUCUGGAUUUUUGUUUUCUGCCUUUCUGGUGUUAAAAGUUCAUUUGCUAGGAUUUGCAUUUUGCAGCAUUCGAAAGAAUGAGUACUUGGAAGUUUGAUGGGAAGAAAAACCAAUAUGUGUUUAGAUCACAAGAGUGCUUAUCAAUGAUCACUACAACAAAUAUCACUUUUCAUAGCUUAAGUUUAUAUCGUUCUUUUGGGAAUGCUAUAAAAACGUAGCAAUAUUUUGGAAUGGUUUUGGUUCUAAGUGUGCCUCCACCUGUUAUGCUAUUUCUGGUUCCAAGUGUGCCUCUAUCUGAUACAUGUAUAGGAGUUACUUUUUCAAUCUAAUUUGCUCCAUUUUGUGCCUGGUUUACUCCUAAAAAAGUGUGUUCAUGAAGUUCAUUUUUUGGUCUUUGCUCCAUGUUACUUUCAGUCCCAUUUGAUGUCGUUCUUUAGCUGGUAGCAACUUGGGGCUGUUUAACCACUAGAUUGAUGUAAAAGCUUUAGUUUUUUCUAGUUUAGUUGUAACCAUGUUGGUGAUUUGUCCCAUUUGCUGUCUUUUGCAUAUUACAAGAGAUAUGUCUACUAUCUCAAGCAACUGUGUUUGCAUAUCUUUUUGAAGCACAUAUUUUCAUGAUUAAGACUUGUAUCUCUCUCUGUUUGAAUACUUCUUCAAAACUUUUGAUCUCCAAGUGUUGAACCAUCUAAAGGGCAUAUAUAUGGGAUUGAUGCAGCAUCUGGAGCUGCUAUUUCAGUUUUGAAUAUCUCCUUGGGAGAUCACGUCUUUGAUCUCUGUGCUGCUUCUGGUAAGUCUGCUUUGUAAUUAGCUUAAUGGCCAAUUCAUUUACUCUUUCAGACAUGUACUUCGUUUGUUGAUAGAAAUAGU